GUUAUAGUCUUAAGUAGUUGUGAUUAGGUUCCUUCUCUUCUCUGAAGCUCCGAUAUUCUGUUCUCCUGAAAACUGAAAAAUAUAUACAUGGAGUAAUGAAUUAAUCAGUCAUGAUGAGCUUUAGUUUUAGUUUGAGCGUUCAAGGCUACUGGUCUGGAAAACCAUGAACUUUCCCUGUGAAUACUUACAGGUGGCAGUAACCACUGAACUACACAGAAGUUGGACAAUGCAGCCUUUGCAUUUUACAAAUUCUUUUAGUUUCAAUCUUUGAGUGUUUUACUUUUUUGUGAUCUGAAAGCACAUAAUGAUGGCUAAUUUGCAUUACUGUCAGCUAGUCGAUUUGAUGAAAAUCUUUUUUUCUGCAUUCCAGGAUAAGAGAAAAGAUGCUGUUAAAAAGACAAUUGCAGCUAUGACAGUUGGGAAGGAUGUAUCAUCACUUUUCACAGAUGUCUUGAACUGUAUGCAGACUGAAAAUUUGGAGCUCAAAAAGCUUGUUUACUUGUAUCUCAUCAAUUAUGCUAAAAGUCAACCCGACCUAGCAAUACUUGCAGUUAAUACCUUCGUGAAGGUAUAAACUAGUAUAAACUCACUUUUCACAUCCACAUAAUUGUUCCCCAUUAAAGACACUGAUUUUGUUUUUUUACAUGUAACAGGAUACACAAGACCCAAAUCCUUUAAUCCGGGCUUUAGCUGUUCGAACAAUGGGAUGCAUCCGAGUUGAUAAAAUCACAGAAUAUCUUUGUGACCCCCUCCAGAGGUGUCUCAAGGUUAACAUCGCCUUUAUUUCAUGUUUUGAUCUUCAGUAAUCAAUCAACUACAAAUAUAUUAAGAUGAUUUAAAAUUGUCUUCAACAGGAUGACGACCCAUAUGUUCGAAAAACAGCAGCUAUAUGUGUUGCUAAACUUUAUGACAUCAAUGCUGAGUUAGUUGAAGAUAGAGGUUUUCUUGAUGCCCUAAAAGAUCUCAUAUCUGACAAUAACCCUAUGGUAGUAGCAAAUGCUGUUGCAGCUCUUGCUGAAAUUCAAGAUAACAGCAGUACACCCAUUUUUGAGAUCACUAGCCAGACCUUGUCAAAGCUCCUUACAGCUCUAAACGAAUGCACUGAGUGAGUAUGCUAUUAAAGUCAUUUACUNUUGCAGCUAUGACAGUUGGGAAGGAUGUAUCAUCACUUUUCACAGAUGUCUUGAACUGUAUGCAGACUGAAAAUUUGGAGCUCAAAAAGCUUGUUUACUUGUAUCUCAUCAAUUAUGCUAAAAGUCAACCCGACCUAGCAAUACUUGCAGUUAAUACCUUCGUGAAGGUAUAAACUAGUAUAAACUCACUUUUCACAUCCACAUAAUUGUUCCCCAUUAAAGACACUGAUUUUGUUUUUUUACAUGUAACAGGAUACACAAGACCCAAAUCCUUUAAUCCGGGCUUUAGCUGUUCGAACAAUGGGAUGCAUCCGAGUUGAUAAAAUCACAGAAUAUCUUUGUGACCCCCUCCAGAGGUGUCUCAAGGUUAACAUCGCCUUUAUUUCAUGUUUUGAUCUUCAGUAAUCAAUCAACUACAAAUAUAUUAAGAUGAUUUAAAAUUGUCUUCAACAGGAUGACGACCCAUAUGUUCGAAAAACAGCAGCUAUAUGUGUUGCUAAACUUUAUGACAUCAAUGCUGAGUUAGUUGAAGAUAGAGGUUUUCUUGAUGCCCUAAAAGAUCUCAUAUCUGACAAUAACCCUAUGGUAGUAGCAAAUGCUGUUGCAGCUCUUGCUGAAAUUCAAGAUAACAGCAGUACACCCAUUUUUGAGAUCACUAGCCAGACCUUGUCAAAGCUCCUUACAGCUCUAAACGAAUGCACUGAGUGAGUAUGCUAUUAAAGUCAUUUACUAUUUAUCUACUAAUUUGUGGUAUUAAAGUCAAUUUUGACAUUAUUCAGGU
rnacentral:lncRNA from 1 species